UUAAGCGACUAAGCGUACACGGUGGAUGCCCUGGCAGUCAGAGGCGAUGAAGGACGUGCUAAUCUGCGAAAAGCGUCGGUAAGGUGAUAUGAACCGUUAUAACCGGCGAUGUCCGAAUGGGGAAACCCAGUGCAAUUCGUUGCACUAUCGUUAACUGAAUACAUAGGUUAACGAGGCGAACCGGGGGAACUGAAACAUCUAAGUACCCCGAGGAAAAGAAAUCAACCGAGAUUCCCCCAGUAGCGGCGAGCGAACGGGGAGCAGCCCAGAGUCUGAAUCAGCUUGUGUGUUAGUGGAACGGUCUGGAAAGUCCGACGGUACAGGGUGAUAGUCCCGUACACCAAAAUGCACAGGCUGUGAACUCGAAGAGUAGGGCGGGACACGUGGUAUCCUGUCUGAAUAUGGGGGGACCAUCCUCCAAGGCUAAAUACUCCUGACUGACCGAUAGUGAACCAGUACCGUGAGGGAAAGGCGAAAAGAACCCCGGCGAGGGGAGUGAAAAAGAACCUGAAACCGUGUACGUACAAGCAGUGGGAGCACCUUCGGGUGUGACUGCGUACCUUUUGUAUAAUGGGUCAGCGACUUAUAUUCUGUAGCAAGGUUAACCGUAUAGGGGAGCCGCAGGGAAACCGAGUCUUAACUGGGCGUUAAGUUGCAGGGUAUAGACCCGAAACCCGGUGAUCUAGCCAUGGGCAGGUUGAAGGUUGGGUAACACUAACUGGAGGACCGAACCGACUAAUGUUGAAAAAUUAGCGGAUGACUUGUGGCUGGGGGUGAAAGGCCAAUCAAACCGGGAGAUAGCUGGUUCUCCCCGAAAGCUAUUUAGGUAGCGCCUCGUGAAUUCAUCUUCGGGGGUAGAGCACUGUUUCGGCUAGGGGGUCAUCCCGACUUACCAACCCGAUGCAAACUACGAAUACCGAAGAAUGUUAUCACGGGAGACACACGGCGGGUGCUAACGUCCGUCGUGAAGAGGGAAACAACCCAGACCGCCAGCUAAGGUCCCAAAGUCAUGGUUAAGUGGGAAACGAUGUGGGAAGGCACAGACAGCCAGGAUGUUGGCUUAGAAGCAGCCAUCAUUUAAAGAAAGCGUAAUAGCUCACUGGUCGAGUCGGCCUGCGCGGAAGAUGUAACGGGGCUAAACCAUGCACCGAAGCUGCGGCAGCGACACUAUGUGUUGUUGGGUAGGGGAGCGUUCUGUAAGCCUGCGAAGGUGACCUGUGAGGGUUGCUGGAGGUAUCAGAAGUGCGAAUGCUGACAUAAGUAACGAUAAAGCGGGUGAAAAGCCCGCUCGCCGGAAGACCAAGGGUUCCUGUCCAACGUUAAUCGGGGCAGGGUGAGUCGACCCCUAAGGCGAGGCCGAAAGGCGUAGUCGAUGGGAAACAGGUUAAUAUUCCUGUACUUGGUGUUACUGCGAAGGGGGGACGGAGAAGGCUAUGUUAGCCGGGCGACGGUUGUCCCGGUUUAAGCAUGUAGGCUGGUUGUCCAGGCAAAUCCGGAUAAUCAAGGCUGAGGUGUGAUGACGAGGCACUACGGUGCUGAAGUAACAAAUGCCCUGCUUCCAGGAAAAGCCUCUAAGCAUCAGGUAACAUUAAAUCGUACCCCAAACCGACACAGGUGGUCAGGUAGAGAAUACCAAGGCGCUUGAGAGAACUCGGGUGAAGGAACUAGGCAAAAUGGUGCCGUAACUUCGGGAGAAGGCACGCUGGUGUGUAGGUGAAGCCCCUGCGGGUGGAGCUGAGACCAGUCGAAGAUACCAGCUGGCUGCAACUGUUUAUUAAAAACACAGCACUGUGCAAACACGAAAGUGGACGUAUACGGUGUGACGCCUGCCCGGUGCCGGAAGGUUAAUUGAUGGGGUUAUCCGUAAGGAGAAGCUCUUGAUCGAAGCCCCGGUAAACGGCGGCCGUAACUAUAACGGUCCUAAGGUAGCGAAAUUCCUUGUCGGGUAAGUUCCGACCUGCACGAAUGGCGUAAUGAUGGCCAGGCUGUCUCCACCCGAGACUCAGUGAAAUUGAACUCGCUGUGAAGAUGCAGUGUACCCGCGGCAAGACGGAAAGACCCCGUGAACCUUUACUAUAGCUUGACACUGAACAUUGAGCCUUGAUGUGUAGGAUAGGUGGGAGGCUUUGAAGCGUGGACGCCAGUCUGCGUGGAGCCAACCUUGAAAUACCACCCUUUAAUGUUUGAUGUUCUAACGUUGGCCCCUGACCGGGGUUGCGGACAGUGUCUGGUGGGUAGUUUGACUGGGGCGGUCUCCUCCCAAAGCGUAACGGAGGAGCACGAAGGUUAGCUAAUCCUGGUCGGACAUCAGGAGGUUAGUGCAAUGGCAUAAGCUAGCUUGACUGCGAGCGUGACGGCGCGAGCAGGUGCGAAAGCAGGUCAUAGUGAUCCGGUGGUUCUGAAUGGAAGGGCCAUCGCUCAACGGAUAAAAGGUACUCCGGGGAUAACAGGCUGAUACCGCCCAAGAGUUCAUAUCGACGGCGGUGUUUGGCACCUCGAUGUCGGCUCAUCACAUCCUGGGGCUGAAGUAGGUCCCAAGGGUAUGGCUGUUCGCCAUUUUAAAGUGGUACGCGAGCUGGGUUUAGAACGUCGUGAGACAGUUCGGUCCCUAUCUGCCGUGGGCGCUGGAGAAUUGAGGGGGGCUGCUCCUAGUACGAGAGGACCGGAGUGGACGCAUCACUGGUGUUCGGGUUGUCAUGCCAAUGGCACUGCCCGGUAGCUAAAUGCGGAAGAGAUAAGUGCUGAAAGCAUCUAAGCACGAAACUUGCCCCGAGAUGAGUUCUCCCUGAGACUUUAAGUCUCCUGAAGGAACGUUAAAGACGAUGACGUUGAUAGGCCGGGUGUGUAAGCGCAGCGAUGCGUUGAGCUAACCGGUACUAAUGAACCGUGAGGCUUAACCUU
rnacentral:rRNA from 1 species